GUCCCUGUAGCGCAAUGGACAGCGCGUUGGACUCCAAAUCCAAAGGUCAUGGGUCCGAAUUCCACGUGGGAUG